rnacentral:rRNA from 1 species
UACGUAGGUGGCGAGCGUUGUCCGGAUUUACUGGGCGCAAAGAGCGCGCAGGCGGUCGUUCAAGUCGCGUGUGAAAGCCCCCGGCUCAACUGGGGAGGGUCACGCGAUACUGAUCGACUCGAAGGCAGGAGAGGGUAGUGGAAUUCCCGGUGUAGUGGUGAAAUGCGUAGAUAUCGGGAGGAACACCAGUGGCGAAGGCGACUACCUGGCCUGUUCUUGACGCUGAGGCGCGAAAGCUAGGGGAGCAAACGGG